rnacentral:rRNA from 1 species
GGAUUAGAUACCCUGGUAGUCCACGCCCUAAACGAUGAAUACUCGAUGUUGGCGAUAUACAGUCAGCGUCUAAGGGAAACCGUUAAGUAUUCCACCUGGGGAGUACGUCCGCAAGGAUGAAACUCAAAGAAAUUGGCGGGGGUCCGCACAAGCGGUGGAUUAUGUGGUUUAAUUCGAUGAUACGCGAGGAACCUUACCAGGGCUAGAAUGUAAUUGGAAUAUAGAGGAAACUUUAUAGCUAGCAAUAGCCGGUUACAAGGUGCUGCAUGGUUGUCGUCAGCUCGUGUUG